CUCAUGGUUUCACGGUAUUGCAAUGAAAACAAUUUAAAACCCUUAGCGAGAAUCAAGUGGAGGACAAGUCUGGUGCCAGCACCCGCGGUAAUUCCAGCUCCACUAGCGUAUAUUAAAGUUGUUGCAGUUAAAAAGCUCGUAGUUGAACCUCUGUCUGGGGCUAGUUUUGGCUUUGGUCAGGCUAGUUCUAGGCAUCCGCCUACAAGACUUAGAGGGCAUUCAGUUGUUCACUAGGAGGAGUAGGCAUUUUACUUUGAAAAAAUUAGAGUGUUUAAGGCAGGCAAUCGCCCGCAUAUAUUAGCAUGGAAUAAUAGAAUAGGACACUUUUCCAUUUCGUUGGUUAUUGGAAUCGUGUAAUGAUUAAUAGGGACAGUUGUGGGCAUUUGUAUUUAAUUGUCAGAGGUGAAAUUCUUGGAUUUAUUAAAUACAAACUAACGCGAAAGCAUUUACCAAGGAUGUUUUCAUUAAUCAAGAACGAACGUUAGGGGAUCAAAGACGAUCAGAUACCGUCCUAGUCUUAACUAUAAACUAUUCCGACUCAAUGUUUGACUGGCUUAUAUAACCAGUUGAGCGUUGUAUGAGAAAUCAAAGUCUUUAGGUUCUGGGGGGAGUAUGGUUGCAAAGCUGAAACUUAAAGGAAUUGACGGAAGAGCACAACCAGGAGUGGAUUCUGCGGCUUAAUUUGACUCAACACGGGGAAACUUACCAGGUUAAAACAAUAGUGGGAUUGACAGUUUGAGAGCGCUUUCUUGAUUGGUUGGGUGGUGGUGCAUGGCCGUUCUUAGUUGGUGGAGUGAUUUGUCUGCUUAAUUGCGUUAACGAACGAGACCUUAACCUGCUUACUAGACUGGCGAUCAUCAAUCGUUAGCUCUUCUUAGAGGGACUUUGGUUGUUUUAACUCCAAGGAAGUUUGAGGCAAUAACAGGUCUGUGAUGCCCUUAGAUACCCUGGGCCGCACGCGUCAUACAAUGACUAGUUCAGAAAGUUUUCUCCUGACCCGAAAGGGGAUGGGUAAUCUUGAUAAUACUAGUCGUGUUAGGGAUCGAUCUUUGCAAUUAUAGAUCUUGAACGAGGAAUUCCUAGUAAGUGCGGUUCAUCAGACCGUACUGAUUACGUCCCUGCUCUUUGUACACACCGCCCGUCGCUUCUACCGAGUGGGUGGUCCGGUGAGAUAAUUGAACUUCGCAGGUAACUGAGAGGAAAGAUUAUCAAACCUAUCCACCU
rnacentral:rRNA from 1 species